AAUUAGUUUUCCUUACAGCAUUUCUCUCUUUUAUAGGUUUAAGUGAAAAACCUGAAGGUAGUGGAUUUUCAUCUCCUCCUGCAGUGUCACACCAUCUUGAUCAUCCUUGUUCAGAUGACAAAAAACCAGGGGAUGAAGAGAAACGUUCAGACAUUUUGGAUAAAGAGAAUAAUCCUGUAGAUGCUGAUGAAACUGAGGAUGCUUUGCCUGGUUCAGAGAACAAUGAGGAUGAGGAUAGCAAAGCUUCACAUCCUCCUGCAGUUCCUAAGAAAUCAAAUAUUGUUCGGAAUGUCUCUCAACAACAAAAAGUGACUGAAAAUACAAACCCGAAAGUUAUCAAGAAGCAAGGUUUAGACGACCCUGCUGAUUCUGGAAAUCCAAAUGAGGUGUCAAAUGAUCAAAGUGAGUA